CUUUCACAUUCACCGUUGAGACUUUUGUGCUUUCCCUUUUCUCCAAAAACACUGUUUCAGAACGCAAUCAAUAUGAAUAAUGAAUUCAUGGACUGCUUGCAUUCAAACUCCCCUACCAUGAUCAAUUUCCAUAAGCACUUUCACAGCAAACGACCGAACUAAGAAAUCCAAUCAUCAUUGUUGUUCGAGUGGUGACAAAGGUUGUGCGUAUACGGCGACAACAUAAGACGAAUAUUGGAAUCGUGAAAGGAAACGGAGCGGUGACAACCCAUCUCAAGCGGCACACGGUAAGUAGAUGAGAGGUCCCCUUGAGACGUGGCUCAGUAGUAGGACUUUUCCUCGUCUACUUCCAGAUCUACUCCUGCGGCAGCCCGCUCAGCUUUCUCUCUUUGCCUGUCUCCGUGUUGCAAUGGUGGUAACAUGGCAGAUUUAUUCAUCUUCCAUCAGGCGACAUGCUUCGAUUUGUCCUCUUCCGCUCCGGUAAAAAUCAUCUGCUUCCAAUGUUGUGCGCACCGCUGCCUCCGCCUUGGAUUUCUUACUCUGUUGCAGCUGGAUUCAUAACGGUGUUGGGUUUCUUUGCCUCUGUUUUGCGCUGAUAAAAUCCGCUUCUUCAUUUUUCAAUGUAUUAUUCAAUCAUUGAUUUUUUCUUUGUGCUUUGGGUUGCAUGUUUUCUUUGAUUUCCAUUUUAUUUCUUAACACCGAUUUUUUUGUGAGAAAAAAAAAGGUUUAAUUUUGUUAACGAUAAGGUAAGCCCUCUUUUCUUAUGUAUGAUGCUAUAUAUGUCUAUGCUACUGUUUGCAAAAAAGAAACCAUGACUUAGAAAUGCAGGGUUGGAAAUCAAUGAGAGGCCAUUGAAACAUCCUCUCUUGGAUUUUGGAAAUCACAUUUUUUCUCCUCUCAUUGAGUUUGGUAUCUCUAUAUUUGUUCUGUAGAUUAUUUAUGCUAUCAAGUGGUUGUAAGCAAUAUGAAGGGCAAGCUGCACAUUGUAUGAAAAAACAAGUACAUUGCUUUUGUUCCAUCUUGGCUCCUCCCUUUCUUUAUAAUACGAGAUUGCUGAUACUAAAUGUCUGCGCAUGUAUACCAAUUAGCCCAAAAUGCUCCUUUUGAAAAAUUUCUAUGUAAGAAGUUCCAUUCACCAUGUAGGUGUUUUGGCUGUGGUAAAAAAUUUAUGAUUUUUAAAAACUGGAAGAGGUUUUCAUUCAAAUUUGAAAUAGGUUUAUGUUCAAAAUUGCAUUCAUGAAUUAGUUCUGGAUUCUGAGAAGUUUCUUUUUCUUAUGACAUGUUAUGUGCCUUAACAAUAUGCUCCAAAUAUUUGUAUCCUGCAUCUUUUUCCCGUUAUUUUGAUCUAAUAAAGAAAUCUGGAGUCCAUAGGUGAUAUGAAUAUGCUGUUAUGUAAAUACGAAUUCAAAGUCAAGUGCAACUUUUACAUGUGUGGUGUCAAUAGCUGAUCUGAAUAUGUUGUUUUUUUUAUAUGGAAAUGAGUUGUCUAUGUAGCAGAAUUUUGGCAAAGAUAAAUACUAAUGUCAUAUCCAUUUUUUUGUCUGAUAUGUUAGAUUGUUGCUAGAACCCUAAAAAGAUGAAUGGGGGCCAUAAGAAAGAGGGGGGUAUAAUGGCUGAUUUGAGUACCAAUUUAGAGCUAAUUGGCAAGAAAUAUGAAGAUAGAGAACAUUCUGAUGGAUAGUCUCUGCAAAAGUUAGUGGAUGGCAUCCAAGGUUAGAACCGAUUAAAAUUUGACAUAUUCUUAGUAAUUUGUGCCACAUGCCAAAUCUCUAACCUCAAUGAUACCUGUCUUUGUCCAAUUUUAGAAACACCUUUACAACAAAUUUAAUGAAAGAGUGUUGCCAAUCAUAUUGGCAGGUAGAUCUCUGCUUAAUAUAUGUUUUUUCCAUUCUUUUUCCUCCACUUAUGUAUCCAAAACAUAAUAUGGUGCUAUCUCAAAGUGCGGCAUCACUAACUCAGAAAAGGAAGACAUCUUUCAGUUUGGUUUAAUUUUACUUGAAGUUACAUCUUCCACUGAAGUAGAGGAGCUAAAAUAUUAGGUAUCCAUGGCAUUUACUCUCAGUUAGAUAUCUUUAAAUUAAAUACUUAUAAACCAUAGAUACUGAUCUUUCAUGAUUAUAUGAUUUUCCCCCAUUUAAUAUGACAUGGUCAAAGAUAAUGGUUUUUCCGGUGGUUAAUUUGCUUUUUAUCAUCUUUGUUGGAGAGAGGUUUUUUAGAAGCUGCAUCAUUGAAGACUGCAGUUCAGAUCACCAUGAAUUGUUUCAGCAAUGUUUCCAGUAAUCACCCUUCAAUAGAGGAUAUCCUCUUGAAUGUACAGAAUGGUUGCUUCUAUAUUUUGUUUUUUUUUUUCAUUUAUGCAGUCAUUAUUUCUAUUAUGAUUUAGAUUUUCAAUGUGGGAUAAGAAAAAGAAAGGAGAGUUUGCAAAUAAGGAUUGUUUUAUGCAGUAAUGUUUUGGUUGUGUACGGCUAAGUUCUACUUUUUCAUCUAUUUAACUAGGGUUGUCGUUA